AGUAUAUCGGACUUGGGAGGACCUGUAGACUGUUUCACGAGUCCAAGAGGCAUAAAGUGAAGUGUGGUGACUAAAAAUGCUUUGACGAACAACGAGUUGGAAAGAGGGUCCAUCCACUAGGUCUGUUACGUGCAUGAAACAUCACAUUCUGGUCAGCCCAACAACGCUGGAAAUGAGUACAUCAACUUGCCCGAGAAAAACAAAAAGGUUUUGUCUGAUAGUUUGUCACCUCUUCACCUCCUGCCAAACAUCCAAGCAUGCUGCUCAUCCCCCAAUAAAGAAUUACAAGUCGUCUUUGAAGCCUGAAUAAGCAGUUGUGUGACUGCUAAAUAACCUACCAUGGAGCCAAAGAAAGUUGCAGUGUCAGCAAUUAGACAAAGAAGGUUUUGCUCGACCAAAAGGAGAAAACCUGCAUCUGAUGAUGAGGGUGAUGAGGAGGGUUAACCUCAGGAUUUUGGACAGGUGGACUUGGUGGUGAUCAUUGUCCUGGUGCAGAACCCAAGUUUGUUUCAGCUUGAGGUCACAAACAGAUGGCUGGACAUUCUCCUUCAAGAUUUCUUGGUAGACAGCAGAAUUCAUGAUUCCAUUCAUCACAGUAAGUCUUCCAGGUCCUGAAGCAGGUAAAUAACUUCAGACAGUCGCACUACCACUACCAUAUUUUACUGUUAGUAUGAUGUUCUUUUUCUGAAGUGUCAGAUGUAAUGGAACACACCCCUUCAAAAAGUUGAACAUAUGUCCCAUCAGACCAAGGUCUUUGGGAUCAUUAAGAUCAGCAAAAUUGAGACUAGCCCUGAUGUUCUUUGUUUCGCAGUGGUUUUCGUCUUGAAACUCUACCAUACAGACCAUUUCUGUCCAGUGUCUUUUUAUGGUUGAGCCAUGAACACUGACCUUAGCUGAGGCAAGUGAGGUCUGCAAUUCUUUGAAAAAUGUUUUUUGUGGCCAUCCACUCCUGGGAAGGUUCAACACUAUUCCAUGUUUUUGUCAUUCGUGGAUAAUGGCUUUCACUGUGGUUCGCUGGAGUCCCACCUUUUCCAGAAUGAUAGAUCUCAAUUAAUCACAGUUAUGUUUUAACUGCAUUUAGUGUUCAGUUGUGUUGUCAUUGAUUAAUAUUGAAAUUGAUUUUAUUUUUUUUAACAUUUUAUUGUGACAAACAUGCCAAAAAAUAAGAAAUCAGAAAUGAGACUUUUUCACACCACUGUAUAUACUGGCAAAAAUAGCGAUGGUAACUAAUUUAUUUAAUUAAUUACGGAAAAAUCCUUACCGUAAUUAAUGCAUACUCAUUAUGGCAAGCCACGUCUCUCUCUUAUGAUGACAGACGAUGCUCCCCACAGACUCACACAGAUUCUGAUGCUCUUUUAUAACUUUAUUUUGACCUGAACACAUUAACAGCAGUCCAAUUCCAACACCAUAUAUGUAUCUCCAACUCCAAACAAACACGUCUCUUGUUCAUUCGUUAUUGCAAUGACACUUCCUCAUUAUCACUAGACAGACCGCAAGAUGCAUUCACAGCCACUCCAAACAUCACAGCAACAUCUUUAAUAAGCGUGUAUGUGUGGUCUAAAUGGAGAGAAAUGCCAAGAAAAUCAGUAAGUGAAUAUUCACAUCACUCACUUUGUAACUCUUAAUGUGGAAGUACAAUUUACUGCAUGCAAGUAUACCCGGAAACCCCAGAAUAUUCACUCAAAAUGUGAAUUAAACUUAAAUGAUAUGAUGUCUAUGAACACAACUCCUCACUGCUCAUAAUAACAGUUAAUGUCUGAUUCAAAUAUUUUGCUAUUAAAUAAACCAGUGUUAGGUAAGUCGAUUUUCAGAUGCGUGUGCCAUCUCUUAACUUGAUUAAAAUUUUCAGUUAAUUUGUCAUUGUUAAAACAUAAAUAUAUAUAUAAU